GUUCCGCCGAUGGCGGCCGGGCUGGGGCCAUGGCUGCUGGGCUUGGGCUUGGCCUUGGGGCCGGCAGGCGUGUGGGCGCAGCUGAGGCUGGUGGAAGCCCGCGGAGGGCAGCGAGCGCCCGGGGACUCCGUGCUCCUCUCCUGCCGCGGACACGGCUUCAACUUCGGGACAUACGCAAUAAGAUGGUACCGUCAGGCACCCGGAGGCAGGCUGGAGUGGGUGUCCUUUAUCUCCCCUAGUUCAUCACUGAUUCAACGUGCACCGGCAGUGAAUGGUCGAGCCUCUGUGUCCCGGGACAAUUCCCGGUUUAGGACUGCUCUGUCUCUAAGUGCCCUGAGCCCACAGGACUCUGCCCGCUACUUCUGUGCUGUUCGCACACACAGGGACGGGAAAUGUAAAUGA